UCGAGCGGAAGGCCCUUCGGGGUACUCGAGCGGCGAACGGGUGAGUAACACGUGAGCAACCUGCCCCAGGCUUUGGGAUAACCCCGGGAAACCGGGGCUAAUACCGAAUAUGACCUCCGAUCGCAUGGUUGGUGGUGGAAAGUUUUUCGGCUUGGGAUGGGCUCGCGGCCUAUCAGCUUGUUGGUGGGGUGAUGGCCUACCAAGGCGACGACGGGUAGCCGGCCUGAGAGGGCGACCGGCCACACUGGGACUGAGACACGGCCCAGACUCCUACGGGAGGCAGCAGUGGGGAAUAUUGCACAAUGGGCGGAAGCCUGAUGCAGCGACGCCGCGUGAGGGAUGACGGCCUUCGGGUUGUAAACCUCUUUCAGCAGGGACGAAGCGUAAGUGACGGUACCUGCAGAAGAAGCGCCGGCCAACUACGUGCCAGCAGCCGCGGUAAGACGUAGGGCGCGAGCGUUGUCCGGAUUUAUUGGGCGUAAAGAGCUCGUAGGCGGCUUGUCGCGUCGACUGUGAAAACCCGCAGCUCAACUGCGGGCCUGCAGUCGAUACGGGCAGGCUAGAGUUCGGUAGGGGAGACUGGAAUUCCUGGUGUAGCGGUGAAAUGCGCAGAUAUCAGGAGGAACACCGGUGGCGAAGGCGGGUCUCUGGGCCGAUACUGACGCUGAGGAGCGAAAGCGUGGGGAGCGAACAGGAUUAGAUACCCUGGUAGUCCACGCUGUAAACGUUGGGCGCUAGGUGUGGGGGGCCUCUCCGGUUCCCUGUGCCGCAGCUAACGCAUUAAGCGCCCCGCCUGGGGAGUACGGCCGC
rnacentral:rRNA from 1 species